rnacentral:tRNA from 1 species
CAAAAAAUCCAAGUAUUGAAUUUUUAAAUUGCUUAAAAAACUUCCCGAAGAGUUCUGUAAAUUGG